UCAGAGGGUCUGUGUGCAGGAUGGCCUGGAUUCCUGUCCUCCUUAUGCUCCUCUGUCACUGUACAGGUUCCCUCUCUCAGCCUGUACUGACUCAGCCAUCAUCCCUCUCUGCAUCUCCUGGAACAACUGCCAGAGUCACCUGCACGCUGAGCAGUGGCUUCAGUGUUGGUGGUUACUGGAUCAGGUGGUACCAGCAGAAGGAAAGCAGCCGUCCCCGGUAUCUCCUGAAGUACUACUCAGAAUCAGACAAGGGCCAGGGUUCUGGCGUUCCCAACCGCUUCUCUGGAUCCAAAGAUACUUCAGCCAAUGCAGGGAUUCUGCUCAUCUCUGGGGUGCAAGCUGAGGAUGAGGCUGACUAUUACUGUGCUACAUACCAUGGUAACUCAAAAUCUUUCACAGUGAUCCAGACUCAUGGGGAAGUGAGACAAAAACCUGCCCACAGCUCUGCUCUGUACACAAGUUAUGUCCAGGAUGUUUCUCCCCUCCCCCAGCAGUAG